rnacentral:misc_RNA from 1 species
AUGGUUGAUGUGGUUUGUGGACCUGAUGCCUACAGAGAUUUACCACGAUUACUGGAGGAGGUAGACUAUGGCCAAAAGGGGAUCAAUACUCUACUUUCACUUGAAGAGACUUAUGCUGAUAUUAGUCCAGUUCGAAUCUCCAAGAAUUCAAUUAGUGCUUUUGUCUCAGUGAUGAGGGGUUGCAAUAAUAUGUGCUCGUUUUGCAUUGUUCCAUUUACUAGAGGCAGAGAGCGGUCACGUCCAGUGGAUUCAAUAGUGAAGGAGGUGGCAGAACUCUGGAAGGAAGGAGUGAAAGAGGUAACUCUUCUUGGUCAGAAUGUGAACAGCUAUAAUGAUACAUCUGGGAUUGACAAAGAAGCUGAACGAGGAUCAAAUUGGAAAUUUAGUGAAGGCUUUUCAAGCAUGUGCAAGGUGAAGAAGGUGGGAUUGCGUUUUUCCGAUCUAUUGGAUCGGCUUUCCACUGAAUUUCCUGAGAUGCGGUUCAGAUACACAUCACCCCACCCUAAAGACUUCCCAGAUGACUUAUUGUAUGUUAUGCGAGACAGAUAUAAUAUCUGCAAAAAUAUUCAUUUACCUGCACAAACUGGGAGUAGCACAGUACUUGAGAGAAUGCGUCGGGGAUAUACUAGAGAGGCAUACUUAGAUCUUGUGCAAAAGAUAAGAAGAAUCAUGCCAGAUGUUGGGAUAAGCAGUGAUUUCAUAUGUGGUUUCUGUGGAGAAAGAGAAGAGGAACACAAAGACACACUAAGUCUCAUUAGGGCUGUUAGUUAUGAUAUGGCAUACAUGUUCGCAUAUAGCAUGAGGGAGAAGACCCAUGCCCACAGGAACUAUGUUGAUGAUGUUCCCGAUGAAGUCAAGCAAAGGAGGCUUACUGAACUUAUUGAGGCUUUCCGUGAGAGUACUGGUCAGUGUUACGACUCCCAGAUUGGAACUAUCCAACUAGUGUUAGUGGAAGGGCCGAACAAAAGAGCUCCAGAUACAGAACUCAUUGGCAAGAGUGAUAGAGGCCAUAGAGUUUCAUUUACCAAUCUGCAAGUGCCAAAUCGAAAUGAGGAUUUGAAUAAAAAGCAGAAUCCGAUCAUUGGAGAUUACGUGGAAGUUCGUAUAUUGAAAUCUACGCGUGCAUCACUUUUUGGGGAAGCUCUUGCUAUUAGUAAAUUGAGCUUAUUUUACAACAGUGUAGAUCAAGAUGCUGUUGCCUGUGCAAGUUGAUGAAAACCUAGCUGCAUGUGAACAUAGCAUGCUAUUUUCCAUUUUCAGUGAAAAUAUCAGAAGAUGGCUUCUUCUAGCUUGGUAUUUAUAUUUCAUAUUGGGAGAUUCAAACUUUUGCAUGCAGUCCUAACCUGAUUGGAGAGGGAGUAACGUAUUAGGUUGGACUUGCCAUGAAAAUGAUUCGGG